rnacentral:misc_RNA from 1 species
AGCAAUGCCCCUUACUCAU